ensembl:lncRNA
CAGCUGGCCUCAUCUGUUCUUCCUCCUUUGUAGAGAAGAAAGACGGUUCCUUGCACCCCUGCAUCGGUUAUCAUGGGCUAAAUGACAUUACGGUAAAAUAAUUGGUACCCCCUGCCAUUGAUGUCCUUGGCUCCCGAGCUGCAGCAGGGAGCGCAGACCUUCACAAAGUUGGACCUCUGCAAUGCCUACCACUUGGUUCGGAUAAGGGAAAGGGAUGAGUGGAAGACAGCUUUUAACACCCCUACUGGCCACUUUAAAUAUCGGGUGAUGCCUUUUGGGCUUUCUACUGCCCCAGCUGUCUUCCAGGCCCUGAUAUGUCCCUUUUCAAAGUUCUAUUGGUUAUCAGACUACUCUGUUUGCUUCACAGGAACCUGAUGCAGCGGUCCCCUCUGCCCAGGCCUUUGUCCAGAGGUGCAAAUCCACAUGGGAAAGAGCCAGGAAGGUGCUCAUUCAGGCGGGGAGACAUGCCAAGGUGGCAGCAGAUCGUUGUCAGACUCCUGCACCCAAGUAUUUUUGUGGGCAGAGGGUAUGGCUUUCUACUCUGGACCUGCCCCUUAAGGUGCCAUCACGCAAGCUGGCACCCAGGACAUUGAUAUCAUUGCACCUGAAGUAUCGAUAGGAAUUCUCACUGUGGUGCCAGAGGACAGCCCGAUGUCUCCACAAGGUUUGCCUUUGGAGGUCACUGAUACAGCAAUAAUUUUGGAGGGCGUUAUAGCAAUGGAUGGACUUGAGAAUGUUCCACAUUUCAUUUGUUUUGUUUUUGGGCUGAUCCAAAUAUGGAGUACCCUUCACAGCUUAAGAAUUUGUUCAAUACGUUUUUAAUAGCAGAAACAAGCCUGUCUUGGGUCUAUUGUUGCAUUUUGGGUGUUGUAUCCAUUAAAAAUCGAAAUACCCGCAACUUAAAAACCGUGAUGUUUUAAUCCGUUUUUGGUUUAUGCUUCUUGAUGGCAGAAAAAGACCAUGUUAUUGUAGGUCUGUUGUUGCACUUUGGGUGUUUUAUCCAGGUUGAUGGGUGACUGAUUAAAACAAAUCGUAUAAAUUUCUUUGUUCUGAUGAACACAGAUAUUUUGAGGAAUGUUUGAAACCAAACCGAUCAUGGGAUGGAUGUAACUGUUUUACUAAAAAGACAUUGCUAUUAAAUGUUUCAAUGAUGCUUUUGCUGAAAAGGUCCAAAUUAUCACUGACAAUUCCCACUGAAGCCCUGUUACAAAUUUAAAUGUUACUUCAAGAACUAGUAACAGCACCUUAAGCAGUUUAAAUUUUUAAAAGGAACAUGCACUUGUUUGCGUUUGCAAUAUAAGAAUGUAUUUUAAUAUUGCUUUUCUUUCUUUCUUAGGACAUUGAUAUUGUUGCACCUCAAGUAUCGAUAGGAAUUCUCACUGUGGUGCCGGAGGACAGCCUGAUGUCUCCACAAGGUUUGCCAUUAGAGGUCACUGAUACAGCAAUAAUUUUGGAGGGUUUUAUAGCAAUGGUUGGACUUGAGAAUGUUCCACAUUCCAUUUGAUUUGUUUUUGGGCUGAUCUAUGCUUUAAAUAUGGAGUACACUUCACAGCAUAAGAAUUUUUUCAAUGUGUUUUUAAUAGCAGAAACAAGCCUGUCUUAGGUCUAUUGUUGCAUUUUGCUUGUUGUAUCCAGAUUGAUGGGUGACUGAUUAAAAAUCUCAAUACCCGCAACUUAAAAACCUUGAUGUUUUAAUCCGUUUUUGUUUUAUGCUUCUUGAUGGCAGAAAAAGACCAUGUUAUUGUAGGUCUGUUGUUGCACUUUGGGUGUUGUAUCCAGGUUGAUGGGUGACAGAUUAAAACAAAUCCCUAUACCCACUACUAAAAAAAAACAAAAAAACAUCUAUUUUAAUCAGAUUUGAGCUGAUGGCAGAAACAAGACUGUUGUUGUAGGUCGUUGUAGGUUUUUACACUUUGGGUGUAUAAUUCUGUCAUCCUGGAUACAAAUCCUAGAAAAAGCAAGACCAUAAUUGCCUCAAUUCUGCCGUAAUUUGUGAGUUUUAUUUAGUCAACUGUCAGCCUGGAUACAAAAACCAAAACUGCAGUAUCUCCACUUGUUUUUUUUUUACUCUGUUUUUCAUAUGUUUGUAAUAGCAGAAACAAGACUGUCUUAGGUCUGUAUUUGCAUUUUGGGUGCUGUAUCCAGGUUGAUGGGUAACAAAUCCCUAUACCCACAACAAAAAUGUCUGUUUUAAUCAGUUAUCUGUGUGUUUGCAGUAACACAAAUGUUUUAUUGUUGGGUUGACUUAUUUGUUGUUUUAAUCACUUACCAUCAACCCUUUGUUUUUAAAAAUGCUUUAAAGAAACAAUUUUUUACAAUAAAAUGAAUGUUUUGACAACA